UCACAUUACAGUUUGAGAUACAAUGCCCUAUUGUUUUUCUAAUAAUGAUAGGGCAUUGUAUCUCAAACUGUAAUGUAG